UGAUCGUGAGCCGUGAGAGGGAGAGGUUGGAUGUGUACCACCGUGGGGCACAGCACUGCAUCCGAUCCCACGUCACAGCAGCCUCCCUUGCCUCCCAAACAUGUUGCUAUGACGGGGAGCGAAGACUGCUUACCAGAGGCAGUGGUGCAGGAACUCCAGUCCUAGUGAGUCCCCAAGUCAACCUUGCUCUUCACUGGCAGGUUGACAUCCUCCCUUGGCUUGUCUGCAAAGGUAACUUCCUAAGAUUCCAUGCUGUACGGAAACCUAACAAUGGCCUGGAAUGUCUAGUCAAUCCAGACAACAUGAAGUAUCAACAGCAAGUUUAUAUGGCCACUGAUUACUAAAGGAUGCUCCUUCACAACUCUUCUACCACUCAUAACAUGCCUUUCUUCAGUUGUAAGGCAUUACUAUAAUGCAUAGAGUGAUGACCACUCUGUCAAUGAUAGAAAAUAUCCAAACAGUAGGUAUUAUUACUGAUAAAAUCUUUUGACAUAUGUGUGAUUUAUGGAUCAAGAAAUAUGUUUAUACUAUGUAGAUGUGUGUGUGUGUGUGUGUGUGUGUGUGUGUGUGUGUGUGGUGUGUGUGUGUGUGUGUGUGUGUGUAUUUACCUAGUUGUAUUUACCUAGCUGUGUUUAACAGGAAAAGAGCUAUGUUUGUGCUGUUCUGUCUCCAUAUUUAUAAGCAUCCAACUUAACUUUAAAUUCAUGAAUAUUUUUUGCUUGUACCACUGUUUCAUCUAAGUUGUUCCAUAUUUUUAUGCUUCUGUUUGGGAAACCAUAUUUCUUGACAUCUCUUCUACUUGCUGUUUUCUUCAAUUUCACUCCAUGUUCUCUUGUAGCUCUUGAGUCCCACACAAAUAAGUCUUCUUUGUCAACUUGAUCUUUACCCUUUAAAGCUCUGUAUAUAGCAAUCAGGUCUCCUCUUUCUCUUUUCUCUUGUAAUGAUGGAAGCUUCAAUCUCCUUAAUCUUUCUUCAUAGGUUAAAUCUCUCAAACUUGGUACCAAUUUGGUUGCAGCUCUUUGGAUCCUUUCUAUUUUCCUUAUUUCCUUUUUAUUAUGGGGUGACCAAACAAUUGUGGCAUAUUCUAGAUUUGGUUGAAUCACAUAUUCCAUCAACUUUUUCAUCAUCUCUUCAUCCAUGUAAGCAAAUGCCCCUUUCAUCUUUCUUAGUAACUCAUAUGUUUCCCAACUAUUUUGUUUACAUGUUUUACUGGUGAUAGAUUAUCACUUAUUGUAAUUCCCAAGUCUUUUCUUCUUUGGUUUUCUUAAUUUCCACCUCUCCCAUGGUGUAGGAACUUGUCAAUCUUCUUUUGCUUUUUCCUAAUUCCAUCUCCUUGCAUUUCUUUGCACUGAAUUCCAUUUCCCAUUUCUUACUCCAUUUAUAUAUCUUAUUUAGAUCUUUCUGUAAUAUUUCACAAUCCAUAUUGUUUUCCACUGUUUUCAAUAAUUUUGCAUCAUCUGCAAACAGACUUAUAUAGCUGUCAACUUCAUCCACCAUAUCAUUGACAUACACCAGAGGAUGAGGCAGUAGACACAUGCUGAAACGAUAAUUACUCCCAGUGAGGUCUAAAGCACUGUUCAGGGGGUGCUGUGAACUUAUCAUUAAACCCAGCUGUGACCUCACUGAACGUUUCCCUUUGUGUCUCACAACACAAGGGGGCAGUCACAGCCUGCCCUCUGAAGACAACUCUCUUCCUCCACACAAAACUACAAGCACCUAAUAACACACACACCCUUCACUCAAAAAUUUUAAAAUCAUCAUGGCGACUCCUACAGCAGCCUCGGAGUCCCCAUCUGGGGAGGGGACCAUAAAUGUCCCCAGGUCGGACUGCCUUUCUGUCAACGACCCUAAGUGUCUUGACACCCCCCUCAACUUUUUCCUUCAACCUUUCCUUCUUCCUUCAACCUUUUCCUGACCUCUAAUCCUUCUGCUUAUGCUGUCAUCCUUUCUUCUCUGUUGGGCUCCUCCGAUCACAAUCUCAUAUCUUUAUCUUGUCCUAUCACUCCAAUCCCUCCUCAGGAUCCCCCUAAGCGAAGGUGCCUCUGGUGUUUUGCCUCUGCUAGUUAGGGGGACCUGAGGAGGUAUUUUGCUGAUUUUCCUUGGAAUGACUACUGCUUCCGUGUCAGAGACCCGUCUUUGUGUGCUGAGCGCAUAACAGAAGUGAUAGUGUCUGGCAUGGAGGCAUACAUUCCUCACUCUUUUUCUCAUCCUAAACCUUCUAAACCUUGGUUUAACACAGCUUGUUCUCGUGCUAUACAUGAUAGAGAGGUGGCCCACAAAGGGUACUUAAGCCUUCCAUCACCAGAAUUUCAUGCACUUUAUAUUUCUGCCCGGAACCAUGCCAAGUCUGUUCUCCAACUAGCCAAAAAUUCCUUCAUUAACGGAAAAUGUCAAAACCUUUCAAGAUCUAACUCCCCUCAUGAUUUCUGGCAUCUAACCAAAAAUAUCUCCAAUAACUUUGCUUCUUCUUCUUUCCCUCUUCUAUUUCAAUCAGAUGGCACCACUGCUAUCACAUCUAUUUCUAAAGCUGAACUCUUUGCUCAAACUUUUACUAAAAACACUACCUUGGACGAUUCUGGGCUUGUUCCUCCCUCUCCUCCACCCUCUGACUACUUCAUGCCACCUAUUAAAAUUCUUCGCAACGAUGUUUUCCAUGCCCUCGCUGGCCUAAACCCUCGGAAGGCUUAUGGACCUGAUGAGGUCCCUCCUAUUGUUCUCCGAAACUGUGCCUCCGUGCUUGCACCUUGCCUAGUCAAACUCUUUCAGCUCUGUCUGUCAACAUCUACCUUUCCUUCUUGCUGGAAGUUUGCCUACAUUCAACCUGUUCCUAAAAAGGGUGACCGUUCUAAUUCCUCAAACUACCGUCCUAUUGCUUUAAUUUCCAGCCUAUCUAAAGUUUUUGAAUCUAUCCUCAACAGGAAGAUUCUUAAACAUCUAUCACUUCACAACCUUCUAUCUGAUCGCCAAUAUGGGUUCUGUCAAGUCCGCUCUACUGGUGAUCUUCUGGCUUUCCUUACUGACUCUUGGUCAUCCUCUUUUAGAGAUUUUGGUGAAACUUUUGCUGUUGCCUAGGACAUAUCAAAAGCUUUUGAUAGAGUCUGGCACAAAGCUUUGAUUUCCAAACUACCCUCCUACGGUUUCUAUCCUUCUCUCUGUAACUUCAUCUCAAGUUUCCUUUCUGACCGUUCUAUUGCUGCUGUGGUAGACGGUCACUGUUCUCCUAAAUCUAUUAACAGUGGUGUUCCUCAGGGUUCUGUCCUGUCACCCACUCUCUUCUUAUUAUUCAUUAAUGAUCUUCUAAACCAAACCUCUUGUCCUAUCCACUCCUAUGCUGAUGAUACCACCCUGCACUUUUCCACGUCUUUUCAUAAACAUCCUACCCUUCAGGAGGUAAACAUAUCACGCAGGGAAGCCACAGAACGCCUGACUUCUGAUCUUUCUAAAAUUUCUGAUUGGGGCAGAGCAAACUUGGUAUUGUUCAAAAACUCAAUUCCUCCAUCUAUCAACUCAACACAACCUUCCAGACAACUAUCCCCUCUUCUUCAAUGACACUCAACUGUCCCCCUCUUCUACACUGAACAUCCUCGGUCUGUCCUUUACUUAUAAUCUGAACUGGAAACUUCACAUCUCAUCUCUAGCUAAAACAGCUUCUAUGAAGUUAGGUGUUCUGAGACAUCUCCGCCAGUUUUUCUCACCCCCCCAGCUGCUAACUCUGUACAAGGGCCUUAUCCGUCCAUGUAUGGAGUAUGCCUCACAUGUCUGGGGGGGGGUUCCACUCAUACUGCUCUUCUAGACAGGGUGGAAUCAAAAGCUUUUCGUCUCAUCAACUCCUCUCCUCUAACUGACUGUCUUCAGCCUCUCUCUCACCACCGCAAUGUUGCAUAUCUAGCUAUCUUCUACUGCUAUUUUCAUGCUAACUGCUCUUCUGAUCUUGCUAACUGCAUGCCUCCCCUCCUUCCACAGCCUCACUGCACAAGACUUUCUUCUUUCUCUCACCCCUAUUCUGUCCACCUCUCUAAUGCAAGAGUUAACCAGUAUUCUCAAUCAUUCAUCCCUUUCUCUGGUAAACUCUGGAACUCCCUGCCUGCUUCUGUACUUCCACCUUCCUAUGACUUGAAUUCCUUUAAGAGGGAGGUUUCAAGACACUUAUUCAUCAAUUUUUGACCACUGCUUUGACCCUUUUAUGGGACUGGCAUUUCAGUGGGGAUUUUUUUAUUAGAUUUUUGUUGCCCUUGGCCAGUGUCCUUCCUACAUAAAAAAAGAAAAAAAAAAAUUAGGGGGGCUAAGACUGUCCCCUGUGGUACUCCACCUGUAACUCUACACCAUUCAGUUUUUUCUCCCUUUAUUACUGUUUUCAUUUCUCUAUCCCUCAAGAAGUCUGUAAUCCAAUUCAGUGUGUUUCCUUACAAACCCCGUAUAUUUUGAAUUUUCCAUAGCAGUCUCUGGUGUGAUACCUUAUCAAAUAUUUUUUUUAGGUCUAAAUAAACACAGUCUGCCCAACCCUCACUCUUUUGAAUUAUAUCAUUUCCUCUACUAUAAAAGCUCACUAAAUUAGUGACACAAGAUCUUCCUCUUCUGAAACCAAAUUGUCUGUUAGUCAAUGUAUGUAUUUCUUCUAAAUAUUCCAUCCCUCUGUUUUUAACUAUUCUUUCUACUAUUCUUGCCACCACACUUGUUGGCACAUUGGUCUGUAAUUCAAUGGAUCUUCUUUAUUACCUCCUUUGAAAAUGGGCACAAUAUUGGCUCUCUUCCAGUCUAGAGGAAUUUUUUAUUCCUUAAAAGAACAUACUAUGGUAUUGUGUAUACCUUCUGCCAGUUGUUCACAACAUUCCUUAAGUAUCCAGUUGGACACUCCAUCUGGUCCUUGAGCCUUACUUACUUCCAAAUCUUUCAUAAUCUUCUUAAUUUCACUUAUGUCCACGUGUAUCUCUCUCAUCACAUUGUCUCUUUCUCCUUCAAAUUUGCUUUCUUUGGUGAAUCCUGACUGGAAGCACUUGUUCAUUAAUUCCGCUUAUAACCGUGUAUCUUUGUAUGUAAUGUCAUCUUUCAUUAAUUUAUAUAUUGUAUGCCUGUUUUUCAUCUUCCCAUUCACGUAUCUGAAGAAUAACUUCGGCUCAUCUUUGCAUUUGUUAACUAUAUCUUUCUCAUGAUUCCUUUCUUCAUCUCUCAGGAUUCUGAUAUAUUAAUUCUUGCCUUCUUGAAAUCUUCCCAUUUCUCACUUCCUCUUUUUUUUUCUCAAUCUAUUCCAUGCUGCUUCUUUUUCUUUUCUUGCUGUUAUACAUCUCAUAUUAAACCAGUCAUUUUUCUUUUUCACUUCCUUUGUUUUGAUCUUCAGUACAUAUCUACUGACCCCUUCAUUAUAAAUUUCCAUAAAUAUGUCCCACUUUUCCUGCGCACUGCUUGCCCUCAACAGUUGUUUUCAUUUAGCCUCUGCAAAAUAUUCCCUCAACCUGAUAAAAUCUGCUUUCCUGUAAUUAUAUCUCUCAUUCCUGUAAAUUUCAUUCCUAUUUUCCAUUGGACCACUGCCUAUACAGAAUUCAAUUAACAGAUGGUCACUUUUACCUAGUGGGCACUGAUAAUUUAUUCCUUCAAUGAUGUCCAUUUCCUAUGUAAACAACAAGUCUAGCCUUGAAGCCUCUUCAUUAUCCCCAAAUCUUGUAUUCUCUCCAAUCCAUUGGGUCAUAGUAUUUGUCAUUAUUAAAUUUAGAAGCAUAUAUCCCCAUGACUCUUCUCCCUCAUCCGUGGUCCACUCUUCCCAGCAUACCUCCUUGAAAUUAAAGUCAUCCAUAAGUGUUAUAUUAUUACUCUCUGCCAGUAUUCUCUCCAAGCAGUUACUAGUAUCACUUAACAAUAAUUUAUAAUCCUCUUGUGUCCAUGCAUUUGUCUAUGGGGGGUGCAUAAACCACUGCAAAAUCUCUUCUUCCUUCUCCUUUCCUUUUUGUUUGAAUUCUGAUUACUUCCGCCAUUCCUUUUCCCAUUGCAACCUCUUCCACUGUUAUACUCUUCUUUGUAAGUAACAUGACUCCUCCCUCUUUCUUAUUAUUUCUAUGUUUUAUCCACACAUUAUAAUUACUAUUACCAAUUCCUAUAUUUUCUGUUGUCUCAUUUAGUUUAACUUCAGUAAUACCCAUGAUGUCAGGCUGCUUUAUCUUAAUAUAAUUAUUCAAUUCUCGCAAUGUUGAUAUUUAGCCAUUUACAUUUGUAUAUGCCACUGUCCACUUUUUAUUUUUCCAUACCUUAUUCACAUUUUCUUUUCUUUUUUUUUGUGAGAUACCACUUCCUGAGCCUCUUGUCCUUUACCUUCCAAUAGAACUUUUUUUUCUCUUCCUCUGUUCUAUUCUCGUUUUUUGCCUUUGCUUCUUUUAUUAGAUCACUUACCUUGAGUCUCUCCUCCUCAUUCUCCAUCCUCCUCACCUCUUUAUCCAAACUUUCCUGUAUUGCUUUGUCUUGUCCAGUUUCCACACGUUUGAUAUAACUUCCAUGGCUGUUGUUUGUGCCCUGAAUUUUACUUUCAGUGGUCGCUCUCCUACUUUUAUAUAUUUCCCCAGUCUAUGUAUUUCCUCAGUUUCACAUCCCUUCUCUCUGUAUAUUUCUUACAACGUCCUCUGCUACCUUUUUUUGUUCUCUUUCCCUCUAGUAUCUUACUGGCUCUGUUUCCUCUUUUAAUCCAUAUAUAACAAUACAUUUCUUUUUCUCCACUGUGUCCCUUACCAUUGAUUUCUUCUGUUUGAUCACUUUUACAGUUUCCUUACUUAAAUCUGUCUUUCCCUUCUUUUGCGCUGCUAUGAUUUCUGUAAAGUUAACUUUUUCUUCCUCUUUUUCCUUCCUCCAGAUUUGAUGUUGAUUUUUCAUCCCUAUCACUUCAUUUUCCUGUUUUUUAACAAUAUCAUUGUUUUUCCUUCAAUUUUGUUUUUAGAUGAGCACAUAGUGUUUUCAAUUCUUUGUUUUCCUCUUCCAGGUCAUGUUAUUUUUUUUUUCUAUUUUUUUUUCAUUCUUUCAAUGAGGUCACUGAUCAUCCCCUCCAUCAAAGCCACUUUCCUUCCUUGCAUUUUAUCAUGUGGUUCAUUAUCUUCUUCAAAUCCUUGGAAUGGUGACCCUGUUGGCAACACUCUGCUCCCACCUAUGGUGUCUGCCUUGCUGGAGCUUUUACUCAUUUUAUUACCUCUGUUAUUACUUAAAUUUUCCCUUAUUUAUUUAUUUCUGGAGACAGGACAACUCUACUUGAGCACAGCUCCUACCUGGGAGGAACACAUUCUAGGCUCUAUGGUCGAACAAAAUCUUUCUUUGCUGGAGCUUGGAUCACUGCUUGUUUACUCGACGACGACUCGAAUGUGUGUGUUUGUGUUUGUGUGUGUGUGUGUGUGUGUGUGAUUCCUAUUUGUACAUAUGUAGUAUACAGGGCUAGAGCUAUUUUUAUGUGGUCCAUCCUUAAUUUGAUGUAUGAGUAUAUUCCUUGCUGCUAUCACUUUUAGUUUACUGUAUGUGUGCUGACUUACCCUGUCACAUAUUAGGAAUUAUCAUCCAGAUAACCAAAACCAGGAGUUUCACUACCAAGGGGAGGGAAGACAUUAAGAAAAUUGAGCUGGUGAUAUUGAUGAUUUACUUUACACAAAUACAAAAACUAUAAAUAAAUAACUUAUGACCCUGCCUGACUAUACCCUCUGCUUUGGAUGGUGACCUAACUAACCUAAGAGAAGACAUGAAAACUCUGGUAGUGCUUAGCUAUGAGUUGGUGAAUGGUGGUGGGUGGAGGAAUGCAUUUGGGUCUUUGAUGCCAGUUCCAGUGUCCUCACAGUGAUGGUAGACAUCACCCCCAGCAGAGAGGGUUCAAAUUGUGAUGGUGGUUAAGGUUGUGUUGGGGGUUGGGGAGUUGGUGACUGUGGUAGCUGCUGUUGUGAUGAGCUGCAGCCUUCACACUACUGUAGUUGGCACUCUAGUUGCCACUUUUUCAUUAUGGCCACUGUGUCUGCUGGAGGGUUGGGAGCACAGGGGCGACAACCUGGCUUAGCACAGAAGGCAGGAGCAAGGAGGUCUGUCCUGUCUACAAGUUAUAGCCAGAAAGAGAAUGUGGGACUAACACAAUGACCUGCAUCAUGUCCCUUUCUCUGCAGACUCCCUCUUCUUCCUCCACUAGACCCCAUCUGAUUGGCUGUCCCUUUAACCCAUACUACUUUAUAUAAUAGAGUUUGUCUUCUCUUAUCCUUUUCACUAUUAUACCUAUCCUAAAUCCUCCUUGACCUGGUUUUGGAAAAAUUAUCACAGAUAACUGUUUUGUGGGUUAACUCCUAUGUGGGACCGAACCAAAGAUAUCAAGCACAUGUGAAUUCAAAAGGAGGAAAGUAGUAUGGAAGUGGGAAGGUUUUUGGAGAAAUUACAUAUGGAGAAACCUGUACUUUAUGUACUGCUGAAACUUAUCUUUUGUUUCAGUUUUCUUUAUCACCCAUAUACAUAG